UGAAUAGUUUUCCUAGAAAAG
rnacentral:piRNA from 1 species